GCCUCCUUAGCUCAGUGGUAGAGCGUUGCACUUGUAUACUUCCUGACGAGGUUUUCGACUGAAUGUCAUUUAUACAAAUUGCAAAGGCCAGCUGUUCAAUCCGGCUACUAGGAGGCA